rnacentral:lncRNA from 1 species
UACUUCCAUUCUAUUGCCGUCGCCAGCAUAGAUGUAUCUUUCACCAUCACUUGGUUUUCGGCAACUCAGGCAACCCUGCAUAGACAUACUGAUGUGAGUUGUUGCACCAGAAUCUAUCCACCAUGUAUGUCUAGGUACCGAAGUUAAAUUAACCUCAGAACAAACCAAAUGAAGAAGAGUACCUUUCUUUACACGCCAUGCGUGGUAAUUGGUGCAAUUCUUCUUCUUAUGACCUGCAGCUCCACAGAAGAAAC